GCUCUGAGGUUGCUCUGCGGUGGGAAAGUGCAAGUGAGCUCCUUCUCUGGUCCCGUUUGACUGAUUUGGACAAUGAGGUGUGGCGGUGGCUUGCAGAAAGUACAGAGAAACAGUGUGAGCUGGAAGGACGGACCCGAGCAGCACUGCAUGCAGGAGGUGCCCUGCUUGCUAAUUGCUGAGCAGGUGGCAAAGCUGUGGCUUAAGAUGAGAGAUGGGGCAAGAGGAAGGACAUCUUUGUGGCUGUGCAGAGGAGCAUGUGUGAAGGGGGUGAGCUGCACACUGUCUCCUGCAGCCCCUCCAUCCUUCUGGCUGCGCUGAACUGGCUUUGCAAAGACCCCUGCAGGCAUUUGCUCAGGAACUGGUGAAAUUACCCUGCCUAAUGGCCUCCAGAAAUGAAUGUACCCAAGCAGAAAGUGUGCCACACAGAUCCCAGGAGCUGCGUGGAGCGAACGGCACGUUGGUUUCUAUGCCAGUCUCAAGGUAGCAGCUGAAGCAUAAACUGGGGAGAGAAAAUGACUUAAUACGCUCAUGCUUUGUUGUUUUGUUUUUGGGCAUUUGUUGUUCAUUUAUUUGUCGGCGCCCCUCCUGGAAAGUGUAUGGAUGGGAGAAGGAGCAUUUGUCCAUUUGUCCCAUCUGCUGUGCUAGCACCUGGGGUCAGCAGGGCUGGGGCUGCCAUCGGCAUGAUGCAGAGGGACCCAGGGCUGGGGCUGAGGCAGCUGUGAGAGCAAGGGUCACCCUCCUGCUGCCUCUGGGAUUAAACCCACAGAUGUUGCCCAUGGACGCCUGUCAGCUGGAUUGGCUCUUUCUGGCUGAGCCUCUCCUCCUGUCCCACUGCAUGGAGAAGAGCUGUCUGUGGGCUGAGCACAUAUUCGGAUUGCCUUUGUCCGAAUGUAGCA